rnacentral:rRNA from 1 species
ACUGCUCAGUAACACGUGGACAACCUGCCCUUAGGUUGGGUAUAAACCCGGGAAACUGGGUAUAAUACCCGAUAGGUCUCGAUUGCUGGAAUGCAUCGAGAUUUAAAGCUCCGGCGCCUAAGGAUGGGUCUGCGGCCUAUCAGGUAGUAGUGGGUGUAGCGUACCUACUAGCCUACGACGGGUACGGGUUGUGAGAGCAAGAGCCCGGAGAUGGAUUCUGAGACACGAAUCCAGGCCCUACGGGGUGCAGCAGGCGCGAAAACUUUACAAUGCUGGCAACAGCGAUAAGGGAACCUCGAGUGCCAGGUUACAAAUCUGGCUGUCGAGAUGCCUAAAAAGCAUUUCAUAGCAAGGGCCGGGCAAGACCGGUGCCAGCCGCCGCGGUAACACCGGCGGCUCGAGUGGUAACCGUUAUUAUUGGGUCUAAAGGGUCUGUAGCCGGCCGGAUAAGUCUCUUGAGAAAUCUGGCAGCUUAACUGUCAGGCUUUCAGGAGAUACUGUCUGGCUCGAGGCCGGGAGAGGUGAGAGGUACUUCAGGGGUAGGGGUGAAAUCUUGUAAUCCUUGAAGGACCACCAGUGGCGAAGGCGUCUCACCAGAACGGACCUGACGGCAAGGGACGAAAGCUAGGGGCACGAACCGGAUUAGAUACCCGGGUAGUCCUAGCCGUAAACGAUACUCGCUAGGUGUCGGCCACGGUGCGACCGUUGUCGGUGCCGUAGGGAAGCCGUGAAGCGAGCCACCUGGGAAGUACGGCCGCAAGGCUGAAACUUAAAGGAAUUGGCGGGGGAGCACCACAACGGGUGGAGCUUGCGGUUUAAUUGGAUUCAACGCCGGAAAUCUUACCGGGACCGACAGCAAUAUGAAGGCCAGGCUGAAGACUUUGCCAGAUUAGCUGAGAGGUGGUGCAUGGCCGUCGUCAGUUCGUACUGUGAAGCAUCCCGUUAAGUCAGGCAACGAGCGAAACCCGCGCC